rnacentral:rRNA from 1 species
UAGUAGUCACGUAGUUUGAUCAGUGCUCAGAACGACGCUGGCGGCAUGCCUAACACAUGCAAGUCGAACGAGACCUUCGGGUCUAGUGGCGCACGGGUGCGUAACGCGUGGGAACCUGCCUUUAGGUUCGGAAUAACUCAGAGAGAUUUGAGCUAAUACCGGAUAAUGUCUUCGGACCAAAGAUUUAUCGCCUUUAGAUGGGCCCGCGUUGGAUUAGCUAGUUGGUGGGGUAAAGGCCUACCAAGGCGACGAUCCAUAGCUGGUCUGAGAGGAUGAUCAGCCACACUGGGACUGAGACACGGCCCAGACUCCUACGGGAGGCAGCAGUGGGGAAUAUUGGACAAUGGGCGAAAGCCUGAUCCAGCAAUGCCGCGUGAGUGAUGAAGGCCUUAGGGUUGUAAAGCUCUUUUACCCGAGAUGAUAAUGACAGUAUCGGGAGAAUAAGCUCCGGCUAACUCCGUG